CUACGGGAGGCAGCAGUGGGGAAUAUUGGACAAUGGGCGAAAGCCUGAUCCAGCCAUGCCGCGUGUGUGAAGAAGGUCUUCGGAUUGUAAAGCACUUUAAGUUGGGAGGAAGGCCAGUAAGUAAUACCUGGGUUGGCGACGCCCAGCAGC
rnacentral:rRNA from 1 species